GACGGAGGGGCAAGCGUUGUUCGGAAUUAUUGGGCGUAAAGGGCUCGUAGGCGGACCGGCAAGUUUGACGUGAAAUCUCCACUGCUUAACAGGGAGAGCCGUUGAAUACUACCGAUCUGGAGUAACGGCAGAGGACCAUGGAAUUCCAGGUGUAGCGGUGGAAUGCGUAGAUAUCUGGAAGAACACCGGUGGCGAAGGCGGUGGUCUGGGCCGUUACUGACGCUGAGGAGCGAAAGCCAGGGGAGCCAAACGGG
rnacentral:rRNA from 1 species